UACGUAGGGUGCAAGCGUUAAUCGGAAUUACUGGGCGUAAAGCGUGCGCAGGCGGUUUUGUAAGUCAGAUGUGAAAUCCCCGGGCUUAACCUGGGAACUGCGUUUGAAACUACAAGGCUAGAGUGUGGCAGAGGGGGGUGGAAUUCCACGUGUAGCAGUGAAAUGCGUAGAGAUGUGGAGGAACACCGAUGGCGAAGGCAGCCCCCUGGGUUAACACUGACGCUGAUGAGCGAAAGCCAGGGGAGCAAACGGG
rnacentral:rRNA from 1 species